GUUGAGAUAUAAAUCAUUUAUAUCACAUGUUAGUUAACACGGUUAGUGUGUCAGAGUUAGUUAGGAAGGUUGUUAGUUAGUUCAUAGCUUAAAGUGUGUGUAUAUAAUGAUCAAUUGUAAUGUUCAGUUCUCUCAAUUUUUCAUAUUCAAUGAAAUAUAAUUUUCAUGCAACUCUUCUAGAUUCUUCUUCUCUCUUCUCCUUCUUCUUCUUCUUCUUCUUCUUCUUCUUCUUCUUCUUCUUCUUCUUCUUCUUCUUCUUCUUCUUCUUCUUCUUCUUCUUCUUCUUCUUCUUCUUCUUCUUCUUCUUCUUCUUCUUCUUCUUCUUCUUCUUCUUCCACAGUUAGUUAGUUAGAGAAUUUGUUAGUUAGUUACUAGUUUAAAGUGUGUAUAUAAUGAUCAAUUGUAGUGUUCAGUUUUCUUAAUUCACAUUCAAUGAAAUAUAAUUUUCCUCUUCUAGAUUCUUCUUCUCUCAUGUGAGUUCAAGCUCCAUCAAUGGAGGAGCUUGAUUGAUCAGUAACAAGCUGUGCUGAUUUUAUCAUGGUAUCAGAGCGAUGGACAUAGAUCCUGCUCCUUUUUCCGCAUCCACAUCUGUGAUUCUUAUUUUCUCUUUCGAAGAGGUUGCACUGUGAAUAUUGAUGUCGAGUUCAUGCUUUGAAUUUUGAGUUCCUCUUCCUGUUCUCGAUUCUGUUUUCAAAGUUUUUCGUUCUCAAAAAAUUUUUUGAGUUUCAAUUUUGAGUUUCUGUUGUUACUCAAAUUGUAUCGCGAUCUGAUUUCACCAUGGAUGACAAUCAAGUUGAUCCAAUUUCGACUGGUUCUACAUCCACUGCUAGGAUGGAUUUUACCAGUCCCUUCUAUCUGCAUCCUUCCGAGAAUGCAGGUUCAUCUCUAUUGCCUGGAGUUUUUGAUGGCACUGGUUAUAGAUCAUGGAGGAGAGCUGUUCUUAGAGCCUUGUCUGUUAAGAGUAAAACAGGUUUUAUCAAUGGCAAAGUAGUAAAGCCAAAUCUAGAUGAUCCUAGUUUCCAACAGUGGGAAAGGUGUGAUGACAUGGUAACCUCUUGGAUUCUGAACUCCUUAUCACCUGAUCUAAGAGAUAGUCUGCAGUAUGUUAACAAUGCCCAUGAAUUAUGGGCUGAAUUGGAGGAAAGAUAUGACCAGACCAAUGGUUGUAAAUUGUAUCAGUUUCAGAAAGAAAUCAAUGAUCUUGUUCAAGGCACUUUGGAUGUCACUGGGUAUUACACGAAGAUGAAAAAGCUCUGGGAAGAAAUGAGCACAGUUGAUAUGAGCUCUCAGUGCAAUUGUGUGUGCACUUGUGGGGGUAAAGUCAAAUUGAUCAAGGCUGAGCAAGAUAGAAGACUCAUACACUUCCUAAUGGGGCUAAAUGAGAUGUAUACUGCCAUUAGAGGCAACAUUCUCAUGAUGAACCCUCUACCUAGCAUGGCUCAAGCUUUUGCCAUAUUGUCCCAAGAAGAAAAACAGAGAGAAGUGAAGCCUCACAACCACACUGCUUUAGAUUCCACUUCCCUAAAUGUUUUUGCUUCAACUCACAACAAUGCAGGAGUGAAAGGUCUCAGAACCAACUAUAGUUCCUCUAAGGGACAUACAGGCAACACUGGAAACCUGAAUAACACCAACAUGAUUAGAGGGAACUCUAGUACCAGCAGGUCUACUUUGUUUUGUGAUUUCUGCAGGAGAUCAGGUCACACUAGGGAAAGAUGUUAUAAGCUUCAUGGAUAUCCACCCAACUCCAAAUUUUCUAAAGGCAAAGGUUCAAAUUCUGCAAUGGCAAAUGUGUGCAGCAAUGAGAUUGAUGGAAUCCACUAUGAGGACAAUCCUGAGUUAAGGAAGCAAAUGCCAUUUAAUCUGUCCAAAGACCAGUAUGAACAACUAUUGAACCUUUUGGGAUCUUUACAAGCUGGACAUGAAGCUUCCAACUCAGACAAUAUGCUAAGUGGAGCUGUGAACUUGGCAGGUAUACUUGCUUGUUAUUCUUCCAUUACUGAGAUAGGUGACCUUUCUUAUAGAUGUACUAGAUUAACUGCUGGUUCUUGGAUCAUAGACUCAGGGGCAUCACAUCACAUGACAUAUAACAAAGCCAUUCUGACAAAUAUUAGAACCCUACCAUAUCCAUUUCUCAUCUCCUUACCUAAUGGUUACAAAGUUAAAGUGACUGAAAUUGGUGAUGUAUGUUUAAAUCAAGUCCUAACAUUGCAGAAAGUUCUAUUUGUACCUAGUUUCAAAUUCAAUCUCAUCUCAGUUCAUUGUCUAGCAUUACAACUUAAAGGUAUAGUCAGUUUUAAUAGUGUUUCUUGCUUGUUGCAGGGCCCUUCUCUGAAGAGCCCUCUGGAACUUGGUAGAGCACAAAAUGGCCUCUAUUUCUUGUGUACAAAAUGCCACAACUGUGUUUCUUCUCCUGAUGGCACCAAGGACCCUCAUGUCAUUUCAAGUCAUUUUACUCGUUUACCUAAAUGUACUAGUAGUCCAGUUCCAAACAUUCAUUACUCUACUGUAAAAGGUUUUUCUCCUAUCAAUAAAGAGGGUUGUUCUGUUUUUAAUUCUUCUUCCUACUCUACUGCAAAUUGUUCUUCUUUUGCUGUUAAUUCUGAUAGCACUUAUACUAAUGAUCUCUUGUGGCAUACUAGACUAGGCCAUGUACCUUUUGUGAAAAUGAAGGGCAUCUCCACUAUCCCUUGUCAUUUCUCUACCAAAUAACCUUUCACCUGCACCAUAUGUCCUAUGGCUAGGCAGACAAGAAUGCCAUUCCCAGAAAGCACGACCUCCACCACUAAGCCUUUUGAGUUACUUCACAUUGACCUAUGGGGGCCAUACCACAUUCCAACUCAUGAUGGUUUUCACUAUUUCCUAACCAUGGUAGAUGAUCACACUAGAUCAACCUGGACACAAUUGAUUAGGUGUAAGAGCAAUGCUUUGCAAACCAUUAAGGCUUUUGUUUCACUUGUUGAAAACCAAUUUCAGACUAAGCUGAAAACCAUCAGGUCUGAUAAUGGCCUAGAAUUUACCUCUAAUGAAGCCACCCAUUUUUUCCAAGAAAAAGGUAUAAUCCAUCAAAAAUCUUGUCCCUACACACCUCAACAAAAUGGUGUAGUUGAAAGGAAACACAAGUAUCUCCUUGAAAUUGCAAGGGCACUCCUAUUUCAGUCUAAAUUGCCCAUGAGAUAUUGGGGAGAAUGUGUUCUAACAGCCACAUACCUUGUUAACAGAUUACCUUCCAAGAUUCUACAGAACAAAUCCCCUUAUGAGAUGUUAUAUCAAACUCCUCCUACAUACUCUCACCUUAAAAGUUUUGGAUGCUUAUGUUUUCCCACUACCUUGAAAACCCACAAAGAUAAGUUUGAGCCAAGGGCAACACCACACAUCUUUGUUGGAUACCCCUUCAAUACAAAAGGUUAAAAGGUUUUGGACUUAGUUACCAAGAGAGUUCAUGUAUGCAGAGAUGUUUCUUUUCAUGAGUCUGUCUUCCCUUUUGUCAUUGCUCCUGAUAAUUCUAGUUUUGCAUCUGUAUUAAAGUGUCUUGUCCAUCAUCCCAAAACUCUAACUUACAUGCCUGGUACAACUAGCACUUUCUUUAAUGAUGACUUUCUAAAUAUUAACAUGCCAUAUGAAGUCACUACUACUGAAGUAACAGCAGCAGAUACAACAUCUAAUACAGUCCCUGAUAUCCAAACAUCUACUAAUAUAAAUGAACACACAACAAGCACUACCAUGCAAAACACACCAGUUUCACCACGUGGUGCCCCACCUACUCUUAGGAGAACCACCAGAUCACUUCAUACACCCAACUACCUCAAAGAAUUUAAAUACACUUUACCCAACUUGCAUUCCUCCACACCUGCACCUGAUCCUCACCUUUCUCUUACAUCAUUUCUAACCAACCAUGAUAGCAUUUGCUUUACCACUUUGUGUUCUGAUAGCCAGCAGUUAGUUGAAACCAUCUCUCAUGAUUGUGAGCCUUCUUCAUAUGAAGAAGCAAUCUUGCAUCCUGCCUGGCAAAUGGCUAUGACACAAGAAUUUGAAGCUCUAUAUGCUAAUAAUACUUGGGACUUAGUCCCUCUACCCAAGGAUAAGAAGGCCAUUGGUUGUAAGUGGGUGUACAAAAUCAAGCACAAGGCUGAUGGUAGUGUAGAAAGGUUUAAGGCAAGACUGGUAGUUAAGGGGUACACUCAACAGGCUGGUAUAGAUUACAAUGAAACUUUCUCUCCUGUAGUAAAGAUGACUACUGUUAGGAGUUUGAUUACACUGGCUGUUAAGAAAGGAUGGGGCUUGUAUCAGUUAGAUGUUAACAAUGCCUUCCUUCAUGGUGAUUUGACUGAGGAAGUAUACAUGACAUUACCACCAGGUCUUGCAGUGGACUGCCCAAACAUGGUGUGCAAAUUAAAGAAAUCCUUAUAUGGUUUAAAGCAGGCUAGUAGGCAAUGGUAUGAUAAGUUGUCCAGCAGUCUUUGUUCUAGGGGGUACAUACAUUCACAUAGUGAUUACUCACUGUUUCACAAAAAGAAGGGAAGUUCUUUGGUCUUUGUUGCUGUCUAUGUUGAUGAUGUGAUUCUGACUGGGACUGAUCUGGAGGAGAUCAACUCUCUAAAGUCUUUUCUGAAUGAUCAGUUUAAAAUAAAGGAUUUAGGUAGACUUCAUUAUUUCCUGGGCUUGGAGAUAUUAUACAGGCAUGAUGGGGUUCUCAUUUCUCAAAGAAAGUUCACUACUGAUCUCUUAAAGGAAUUUGAUUCCUUGCACUGCAAACCUGUUGCUUCACCACUUGACUAUACUGAAAAAUUGAAGGCCUCUGAUGGAAGGUUACUCUCUGAUCCUACUUAUUACAGGAAGUUAGUAGGCAAACUCAAUUUUCUAACACACACUAGGAUGGAUAUAGCUGAUAGUGUGCAGCACCUAAGCCAGUUCAUGCAAACACCUAGGGAACCACACUUAAAGGCAGCUUAUCAUGUCCUCAAAUACCUCAGACAAGAUCCUACAAUGGGAAUAUUCAUUUCAAACAAACCUGAUCUUACAGUGAAGGCAUAUUGUGACUCAGAUUGGGGUGCUUGCUCUGAUUCAAGGAAGUCAGUCAGUGGCUAUCUCGUCCUCAUGGGUGAUAGCCCUAUCAGCUGGAAGUCCAAGAAACAGGCCACAGUAUUUUUGUCCUCUGCAGAAGCAGAAUACAGAGCUAUGAGACAGGUAGUAGGGGAGCUGGUUUGGUUUGAAAGGCUGAUGACUGAGUUGUCUGUACAAUGCCUCUUGCCUAUACAAGUUUUCUGUGACAGUCAAGCUGCAGUCCACAUUGCCAAAAACCCAGUUUUCCAUGAAAGGACUAAACACAUAGAAAUAGACUGCCAUUUUGUUAGAGACAAACUUCACCAAGGCUUGAUCACUCUCCAUCACAUCUCUACUGAUUCACAACUGGCAGAUAUCCUCACAAAGGCUCUCACUGGAGUUAAACAUGCUACAUUAUUGAACAAGUUGUCUGUAAAUCCAAUUACCUCCAACUUGAGGGGGGGUGUUGAGAUAUAAAUCAUUUAUAUCACAUGUUAGUUAACACGGUUAGUGUGUCAGAGUUAGUUAGGAAGGUUGUUAGUUAGUUCAUAGCUUAAAGUGUGUGUAUAUAAUGAUCAAUUGUAAUGUUCAGUUCUCUCAAUUUUUCAUAUUCAAUGAAAUAUAAUUUUCAUGCAACUCUUCUAGAUUCUUCUUCUCUCUUCUCCUUCUUCUUCUUCUUCUUCUUCUCUCAUGUGAGUUCAAGCUCCAUCAAUGGAGGAGCUUGAUUGAUCAGUAACAAGCUGUGCUGAUU
rnacentral:lncRNA from 1 species